rnacentral:tRNA from 1 species
GUCCACUUAGCUCAGUUGGUAGAGCAUACGCUUCACACGCGUAGGGUCACUGGUUCGAGUCCAGUAGUGGGCA